rnacentral:rRNA from 1 species
UACGAAGGGGGCUAGCGUUGUUCGGAAUCACUGGGCGUAAAGGGCGCGUAGGCGGCUUUAUAAGUCGGGGGUGAAAGCCUGUGGCUCAACCACAGAAUUGCCUUCGAUACUGUAGAGCUUGAGACCGGAAGAGGUAAGUGGAACUGCGAGUGUAGAGGUGAAAUGCGUAGAUAUCGGGAGGAACACCAGUGGCGAAGGCGACUACCUGGCCUGUUUCUUGACGCUGAGGCGCGAAAGCUAGGGGAGCAAACGGGG